CCCUUCUCUGAGAGGGAGACAAUUUAGAGAUGGGGGGUACAGUUCAAGGGUUUGAUUUAGACAUGUUAUGUUCGAGAUACAUCUGGGAACCACCAGGGUGUAGAUGACAUUUGAGGCCACAGACUGGAUGAAAUUCCCUAGGAAGUGAGUAUAGUUAAAGAAGAGAAAAGGCCCAGAGGCCACCAGAGUUCAGAGGAAAGCACCAAACAGAAGUAAAUCAUAGACCUUAAUUCACACACUAUCUUAAGGAGGAAAUGAAUGAACACAUGUAAAGCACUUAAAACCAGCACCGGCCAACUAUUUAAUAAGCACAAUCCUUCCUUCUUUCCUCCCUCCCUUCCUUCUUCCAUUUCUUUUUUCUUUCUUCCUUUACCUGAUUCUCAAAGGAUCUGAGUGAGAAAUAAAGCAGUGUAUACUUACAAGAUUUAUUAAUUUAACAAACAUGUGUUGAGUGUCUACUGUCCUGGGUGCUAUGGAAAUGGCAGUAAAAAAUAUAGACAACAUUCUCUGCCCUCAUGGAACUUACAUCAUAGUGGAGGAGGGGACAGACAAUGGACAAAAUAAAUGAGUAGAUUCUAUAGCAUAUCAGAGGGAGGUGAGGUCUGCAGCUGCAGACAAACUGCUGGGGGCAGGAGUAAGGCGGAGCCAUUGUAACUCUGAUGUUUGUGGGAGGCAUUGUGCCCAUGGUGACAUAGGAAGGGGAAGCAGAAGAGGAAACAGGAACUAGAAUUCCAGGCUGAGGGGACAGCAAGUGCAAAGGCCCUGGGGUGGAAGCCUGCCUGGUGUGUCCAAGGAAGAGCCAGGAGCCAGAGUGACUUGAGCUGCAUUAGUGGAAGAAGGAGUGGAGGGGAAGAGGCCCAGGUGGGACAAGCUCUGGCAUCUUUACUUACACCCCCUCCACUUGGUGGUCUGAAUUUGGUGCUUCAGUUGGGUGUAGGGAGAAGAGGCAGUGGCCACUUAAGGUCAAUUUACAAUUGAUUUUGAAGGGCAAUUUGCAAAGGAGAGAUGAGAAAUUGUGCAGCGUGACAAAAACUAACCCAAGAACUGUAAAAGUGCCGAGUGAGGGGAGCUCAAGUACACACAAGAAGGAACAACUGCCACUCGUGGCAAGGGUCACUAGCAAAGCCCAAGGCAUGCAAAUAUGCUUUGUAAUCGCCCUGGCCCUACGUGAGAAUAUGCACUCGGCAGGACUCUGAUACCACCAUAUCGGAGUAGAUUGGA